rnacentral:rRNA from 1 species
GCCUGAUGGAGGGGGAUAACUACUGGAAACGGUGGCUAAUACCGCAUAACGUCGCAAGACCAAAGAGGGGGACCUUCGGGCCUCUUGCCAUCAGAUGUGCCCAGAUGGGAUUAGCUUGUUGGUGAGGUAACGGCUCACCAAGGCGACGAUCCCUAGCUGGUCUGAGAGGAUGACCAGCCACACUGGAACUGAGACACGGUCCAGACUCCUACGGGAGGCAGCAGUGGGGAAUAUUGCACAAUGGGCGCAAGCCUGAUGCAGCCAUGCCGCGUGUAUGAAGAAGGCCUUCGGGUUGUAAAGUACUUUCAGCGGGGAGGAAGGUGUUGUGGUUAAUAACCGCAGCAAUUGACGUUACCCGCAGAAGAAGCACCGGCUAACUCCGUGCCAGCAGCCGCGGUAAUACGGAGGGUGCAAGCGUUAAUCGGAAUUACUGGGCGUAAAGCGCACGCAGGCGGUCUGUCAAGUCGGAUGUGAAAUCCCCGGGCUCAACCUGGGAACUGCAUUCGAAACUGGCAGGCUUGAGUCUUGUAGAGGGGGGUAGAAUUCCAGGUGUAGCGGUGAAAUGCGUAGAGAUCUGGAGGAAUACCGGUGGCGAAGGCGGCCCCCUGGACAAAGACUGACGCUCAGGUGCGAAAGCGUGGGGAGCAAACAGGAUUAGAUACCCUGGUAGUCCACGCCGUAAACGAUGUCUACUUGGAGGUUGUGCCCUUGAGGCGUGGCUUCCGGAGCUAACGCGUUAAGUAGACCGCCUGGGGAGUACGGCCGCAAGGUUAAAACUCAAAUGAAUUGACGGGGGCCCGCACAAGCGGUGGAGCAUGUGGUUUAAUUCGAUGCAACGCGAAGAACCUUACCUGGUCUUGACAUCCACAGAACUUUCCAGAGAUGGAUUGGUGCCUUCGGGAACUGUGAGACAGGUGCUGCAUGGCUGUCGUCAGCUCGUGUUGUGAAAUGUUGGGUUAAGUCCCGCAACGAGCGCAACCCUUAUC